rnacentral:rRNA from 1 species
CCGUGCCGUAUGCAGGGGGACAACAGUCAGAAAUGACUGCUAAGUACCGCAUAAGCACACAAUGCUGCAUGGCAUGGUGUGAAAAGAUUUAUCGGCAUACGAUGGCCCCGCGUCUGAUUAGCCAGUUGGCAGGGUAAUGGCCUACCAAAGCAACGAUCAGUAGCCGGCUUGAGAGAGUGACCGGCCACAUUGGGACUGAGACACGGCCCAGACUCCUACGGGAGGCAGCAG